CCUACGGGUGGCUGCAGUGGGGAAUAUUGGACAAUGGGCGAAAGCCUGAUCCAGCCAUGCCGCGUGUGUGAAGAAGGCCUUCGGGUUGUAAAGCACUUUCAGUGGGGAAGAAAGCCUUGGGGCUAAUACCCUCGAGGAAGGACAUCACCCACAGAUGAAGCACCGGCUAACUCCGUGCCAGCAGCCGCGGUAAUACGGAGGGUGCGAGCGUUAAUCGGAAUUACUGGGCGUAAAGCGCGCGUAGGCGGUCUGAUAAGCCGGUUGUGAAAGCCCCGGGCUCAACCUGGGAACGGCAUCCGGAACUGUCAGGCUAGAGUGCAGGAGAGGAAGGUAGAAUUCCCGGUGUAGCGGUGAAAUGCGUAGAGAUCGGGAGGAAUACCAGUGGCGAAGGCGGCCUUCUGGACUGACACUGACGCUGAGGUGCGAAAGCGUGGGUAGCAAACAGGAUUAGAUACCCCGGUAGUC
rnacentral:rRNA from 1 species